GACGAACGCUGGCGGCGUGCUUAACACAUGCAAGUCGAACGGAGUGGCGAACGGGUGAGUAACACGUGGGUGAUCUGCCUUGCACUUCGGGAUAAGCUUUGGAAACUGGGUCUAAUACCGGAUAGUGCAAGAUGAGCUCGCGGCCUAUCAGCUUGUUGGUGGGUUAAUGGCCUACCAAGGCGUCGACGGGUAGCCGGCCUGCGAGGGUGUACGGCCACAUUGGGACUGAGGUACGGGCCAGACUGAUACGGGGGGCAGCAAUGGGGAAUAUUGCACAAUGGGCGGAAGCCUGAUGCAGGGACGCCGCGUGGGAGAGGAAGGCCUUCGGGUAGUAACCUCCUUUCGACAGGGACGCGGUACCUGUAUAAGAAGCACCGGCUAACUACGUGCCAGCCGCCGCGGUAAUUC
rnacentral:rRNA from 1 species